GGCCCUGGGCGGCUGCCUAUACAUGCAAGUCGAACGAAACUUUCUUACACCGAGAUGCUUGCAUUCACCGUAAGAAGUUGAGUGGCGGACGGGUGAGUAACACGUGGGUAACCUGCCUAAAAGAAGGGGAUAACACUUGGAAACAGGUGCUAAUACCGUAUAUCUCUAAGGAUCGCAUGAUCCUUAGAUGAAAGAUGGUUCUGCUAUCGCUUUUAGAUGGACCCGCGGCGUAUUAACUAGUUGGUGGGGUAACGGCCUACCAAGGUGAUGAUACGUAGCCGAACUGAGAGGUUGAUCGGCCACAUUGGGACUGAGACACGGCCCAAACUCCUACGGGAGGCAGCAGUAGGGAAUCUUCCACAAUGGACGCAAGUCUGAUGGAGCAACGCCGCGUGAGUGAAGAAGGUCUUCGGAUCGUAAAACUCUGUUGUUAGAGAAGAACACGAGUGAGAGUAACUGUUCAUUCGAUGACGGUAUCUAACCAGCAAGUCACGGCUAACUACGUGCCAGCAGCCGCGGUAAUACGUAGGUGGCAAGCGUUGUCCGGAUUUAUUGGGCGUAAAGGGAACGCAGGCGGUCUUUUAAGUCUGAUGUGAAAGCCUUCGGCUUAACCGGAGUAGUGCAUUGGAAACUGGAAGACUUGAGUGCAGAAGAGGAGAGUGGAACUCCAUGUGUAGCGGUGAAAUGCGUAGAUAUAUGGAAGAACACCAGUGGCGAAAGCGGCUCUCUGGUCUGUAACUGACGCUGAGGUUCGAAAGCGUGGGUAGCAAACAGGAUUAGAUACCCUGGUAGUCCACGCCGUAAACGAUGAAUGCUAGGUGUUGGAGGGUUUCCGCCCUUCAGUGCCGCAGCUAACGCAAUAAGCAUUCCGCCUGGGGAGUACGACCGCAAGGUUGAAACUCAAAGGAAUUGACGGGGGCCCGCACAAGCGGUGGAGCAUGUGGUUUAAUUCGAAGCAACGCGAAGAACCUUACCAGGUCUUGACAUCCUUUGACCACCUAAGAGAUUAGGCUUUCCCUUCGGGGACAAAGUGACAGGUGGUGCAUGGCUGUCGUCAGCUCCGGGCCUGGAAAUGUUGGGUUAAGUCCGCAACGAGCGCAACCCUUGUUGUCAGUUGCCAGCAUUAAGUUGGGCACUCUGGCGAGACUGCCGGUGACAAACCGGAGGAAGGUGGGGACGACGUCAAGUCAUCAUGCCCCUUAUGACCUGGGCUACACACGUGCUACAAUGGACGGUACAACGAGUCGCGAGACCGCGAGGUUUAGCUAAUCUCUUAAAGCCGUUCUCAGUUCGGAUUGUAGGCUGCAACUCGCCUACAUGAAGUCGGAAUCGCUAGUAAUCGCGAAUCAGCAUGUCGCGGUGAAUACGUUCCCGGGCCUUGUACACACCGCCCGUCACACCAUGAGAGUUUGUAACACCCAAAGCCGGUGGGGUAACCGCAAGGAGCCAGCCGUCUAAGGUGAACCAGAAU
rnacentral:rRNA from 1 species